CUCAAGGAUGUUCAAAUUUGUAUUUUGCGCCCACCCCUCCCUUUAAAAAAAAUAGAAGAAGAGAAAAGAAAUAACCGCCUAUAGAUCUGAAAGAAAAACAGUGCUUCUAGCGUUCUAAUGUGCUAAUUUGAGCCCAGCGAGAGAGUUCGGAUGCGUGGGCGGUGAAAGGUUACAUCCAGAAAUUACUAGCUAUUAGAUUGAGGAUAUAUUGGUACAAAUAGGCAGUUACCAUAUUCUUAACUGCGAUUCUGGGUGUCCGAGAUAAUGGUAGCUGCUGGAGUGGCAUCUCUCGUACUGUGCUGGCUCCGGAUUUCCGUCCUCCUUUUCUUAUUUGCUUGAUGGCCUCUCGCUUCGACUUUCCCUAAAGCGGGCAAGGCCCGGAGAGCAUGGAAAACAUAUCCCUCAGCACCCCCUCGCCCUGUCAUUAGUGGAUGUGUUCGGCCAGGAAGCACCUGCCAUGGCCUUACGCGCGAUGUUUGUAUGGUCGGAGACAGAAGGAGCGUCGGGUCAACUGGGAAAUCACGUUCGUUGAUUGCGGUUGCCUCGUCUUGCAUCGGUCCGUCCUGAUCCUUGACAUGAUUAGGAUUCCCGUUGGUGGAGACCGGGUCCUUUUGGGAAACGAUGCGCAGACGACUAAUGUACGCAGUGCGUCGGGCCGUAGAGUAAAAGUCUGCUAGCAUCACUAAUGGUUCGAUGUGUGGUGCGUAAACCACCACUGGAGCAGAGCCGGAUAAUAAGGGCACUGUGUGCUUCAAUAUUGAUGUUGGGUCCAUUAAACUAGCAACUAUUAGGCCAUCAAAACCGCCUGCCCGGGUUUCGUCGACAACUCUGCGAACUUUAUUCCACCGCCGGCGUUUGCGAUAGUACAUGCCACGUUUAUUUGGUUUCAAAUUCGCUAGAUCGGUUUCUGAUGCGACCGGAGGUUCAUUGGAAUACACCGGAUCUGUGGAAGGGUCGAGGAGCUGCAGCCAAGAUAAAGUUUUGAGAUUGGUAUGAAGGGGGUGUGAAGGAGAUGGGUCGCCAACAUCAAACGAGAAGUACUUGAGAAGUGAUAGGUUAGGCUGAGCAUUGGGAUGGAUCAUAGUGAGCGUGGUAUUGUUAAAGGACAUCCCCGGGGAAAAGCGUUGACGGCGAGCUGACGAAGCAGCGGUGUCAGCGGGCCGAGAUGAGUCGCUGUUUGGUUGUGCAGGGCUAUAUUGGCUGGAAUUUUGCGGUUUUGGGCCAUCGGAUAUCUCGGUUUGAAGCCGUGAGUGGAGCUCAUCGUCUUCUAGGUCUCGAACGUAAGUCUCAUGAGGAUAGAGUAUUCCCAUACGCUCUGCCAUGGCUGCCACAACCAGGCCUCCAGUGUCGUCAAUAAUCAGCCAGCGACUAGCCUUGUGCAUUUCGGUUGCCUCUGAAACCAUGAAUGCAUUUCCGCCAUUAUGGACAUUCGCCCAGCAGCCUAUGAGCCCGAUUACCUCAUCCCUUAGCUCCAAAACUUUUGUGGCAUCUUUCUGCUCUAACAUCCAGCGAGUGAGGAGGGGUAUAUCCAGGGGUAGGACAGAGAACCGCUUUAGUAUCUCGGUUUGUCCGCAUGGGACUUUCAAUGUGCCGAAACUCCUCGUUAUCCUCAUCUUCCCCGAGAAUAGACUCAUCAGCUAUUAAUGAUUCUGCAUGCAACUCAGCCGCUGGAACGAUACGAAGCGCGUGAUUGCCUUCCGCAUGUGGCUGAUCAAGAAUCUCGAAGGUGAGAUGGUAAGGUCGCCCUAUGAUCUGGUUUGCAAAGAAUGAACCGUAUUUUCCAAGCGAUAUUAUCCUAAGUAGCUUGUCAGUUCGCGAACGUAGUGGGAUGGGAAGGGUAGCAUGAUUCCUUGAGAAUCGAAACAAUAAAGGAAAUAUGUCCACGGGGGUCCCAAAACAUACGUAUUAGGGAUUAUUUGAUGGACCUUGAUUGUAUCUGACGGCAGCCCUAACGCAAUAUAGGCGUGGGGUUGGACUGUCGAAUGCAUCUGCAGACAAAAUGAGGAAAUAAAUUAUACAACGGGCUGGGCUGUAGUCUAACCAUAAAGAGCCAUUACGGAGAAUAAUUAAUUACCCUUUAUUAUUUUUUGCCUAUUUUUCUUCGGAUGUUUUGGGGGCGGAGGGGAUAGAGCAGAACAAUUGCGAC
rnacentral:sRNA from 1 species